rnacentral:rRNA from 1 species
UACGUAGGGUGCAGGCGUUAAUCGGAAUUACUGGGCGUAAAGCGUGCGCAGGCGGUUUGCUAAGUCAGGUGUGGAAUCCCCGGGCUUAACCUGGGAACUGCGCUUGUAACUGGCAAGCUAGAGUGUGGCAGAGGGGGGUGGAAUUCCACGUGUAGCAGUGAAAUGCGUAGAGAUGUGGAGGAACACCGAUGGCGAAGGCAGCCCCCUGGGCUAACGCUGACGCUCAUGCACGAAAGCGUGGGGAGCAAACAGG